UUUAGGACUCGAGACAUGGGCUGAAUAUCAAACAAUGUCUGGGUAUAGGAUAGAUCCAUACUUCUCUUUUGUUGCUAAGAUUUGAACUCUAGAAAGACAGUAUUGAGUCUUGAACUCUUCAUCAAUGUUUUAGACCUAUGUCUUAGCGCUCCAUC
rfam:Populus trichocarpa scaffold_12_contig_168, whole genome shotgun sequence.